rnacentral:snRNA from 1 species
GAGAUUUUGCUCUUUUAGUAUUUGUCUAGUAGGUUUUCCUUAUUAGGAAAGCCCCU